rnacentral:rRNA from 1 species
AUUGAACGCUGGCGGCAGGCUUAACACAUGCAAGUCGAACGAUGAAGAUAUAGCUUGCUAUAUCGGAUUAGUGGCGGACGGGUGAGUAACACUUAGGAAUCUACCUUUUAGCGGGGGAUAGCUCGGGGAAACUCGAAUUAAUACCGCAUAAUUUCUACGGAAUAAAGAGGGCCUUUAGCUCUCACUAGAAGAUGAGCCUAAGUAAGAUUAGCUAGUUGGUGGGGUAAAAGCCUACCAAGGCGACGAUCUUUAGCUGGUCUGAGAGGAUGAUCAGCCACACUGGGACUGAGACACGGCCCAGACUCCUACGGGAGGCAGCAGUGGGGAAUAUUGGACAAUGGGGGCAACCCUGAUCCAGCCAUGCCGCGUGUGUGAAGAAGGCCUUUUGGUUGUAAAGCACUUUAAGCAGUGAAGAAGACCUAUUGAUUAAUACCCAAUAGCGAUGACAUUAACUGCAGAAUAAGCACCGGCUAACUCUGUGCCAGCAGCCGCGGUAAUACAGAGGGUGCAAGCGUUAAUCGGAAUUACUGGGCGUAAAGCGAGCGUAGGUGGUUAAAUAAGUCAGAUGUGAAAGCCCUGGGCUCAACCUAGGAACGGCAUCUGAAACUAUUUAACUAGAGUAGGUGAGAGGGAAGUAGAAUUUCAGGUGUAGCGGUGAAAUGCGUAGAGAUCUGAAGGAAUACCGAUGGCGAAGGCAGCUUCCUGGCAUCAUACUGACACUGAGGCUCGAAAGCGUGGGUAGCAAACAGG